GAUGAACGCUGGCGGCGUGCUUAACGCAUGCAAGUCGAACGAUGAAGCCCAGCUUGCUGGGUGGAUUAGUGGCGAACGGGUGAGUAACACGUGAGCAACCUGCCCCUGACUCUGGGAUAAGCGCUGGAAACGGCGUCUAAUACUGGAUAUGUCCCGUCACCGCAUGGUGUGCGGGUGGAAAGAUUUUUCGGUUGGGGAUGGGCUCGCGGCCUAUCAGCUUGUUGGUGAGGUAAUGGCUCACCAAGGCGUCGACGGGUAGCCGGCCUGAGAGGGUGACCGGCCACACUGGGACUGAGACACUGCCCAGACUCCUACGGGAGGCAGCAGUGGGGAAUAUUGCACAAUGGGCGAAAGCCUGAUGCAGCAACGCCGCGUGAGGGAUGACGGCCUUCGGGUUGUAAACCUCUUUUAGCAGGGAAGAAGCGAAAGUGACGGUACCUGCAGAAAAAGCACCGGCUAACUACGUGCCAGCCGCCGCCGUAACAC
rnacentral:rRNA from 1 species